GAUGAACGCUAGCUACAGGCUUAACACAUGCAAGUCGAGGGGCAGCAUGAACUUAGCUUGCUAAGUUUGAUGGCGACCGGCGCACGGGUGAGUAACACGUAUCCAAACCUGCCGAUGACUCGGGGAUAGCCUUUCGAAAGAAAGAUUAAUACCCGAUGGCAUAGUUCUUCCGCAUGGUGGAACUAUUAAAGAAUUUCGGUCAUCGAUGGGGAUGCGUUCCAUUAGGUUGUUGGCGGGGUAACGGCCCACCAAGCCUUCGAUGGAUAGGGGUUCUGAGAGGAAGGUCCCCCACAUUGGAACUGAGACACGGUCCAAACUCCUACGGGAGGCAGCAGUGAGGAAUAUUGGUCAAUGGACGAGAGUCUGAACCAGCCAAGUAGCGUGAAGGAUGACUGCCCUAUGGGUUGUAAACUUCUUUUAUACGGGAAUAAAGUGACGGCACGUGUGCCUUUUGUAUGUACCGUAUGAAUAAGGAUCGGCUAACUCCGUG
rnacentral:rRNA from 1 species